UACGUAGGGACCAAGCGUUGUUCGGAUUUACUGGGCGUAAAGGGCACGUAGGCGGUUAUGUAAGUCAGUUGUGAAAUCCCCGGGCUUAACCUGGGAACUGCAAUUGAAACUGUGUGACUAGAGUCGAAGAGAGGGAAGCGGAAUUUCCGGUGUAGCGGUGAAAUGCGUAGAUAUCGGAAGGAACACCCGUGGCGAAGGCGGCUUCCUGGCUUCAGACUGACGCUGAGGUGCGAAAGCGUGGGUAGCGAACAGG
rnacentral:rRNA from 1 species